GAACGAACGCUGGCAGCGUGGAUUAGGCAUGCAAGUCGAACGGGAACCGGUCUAUUCAAGUAGCAAUACGAGGAUAGAUCGGGGAGAGUGGCGGAAGGGUGAGGAACGCGUGGGCAACCUACCCUCAAGAUGGGGAUAACACUUCGAAAGGAGUGCUAAUACCGAAUGUGGUUUCCUUGCGCAUGCAGGGAGGACUGAAGACGGGGAUCCUUCGGGACCUGUCACUUGAGGAGGGGCCCGCGUCCCAUCAGCUAGUUGGUGAGGUAACGGCCCACCAAGGCUUACGGGUAGCUGGUCUGAGAGGAUGGUCAGCCACACUGGGACUGAGACACUGCCCAGACUCCUACGGGAGGCUGCAGUCGAGGAUCAUUUGCAAUGGGCGAAAGCCUGACAGUGCGACGCUGCGUGGAGGAUGAAGGCCUUCGGGUUGUAAACUCCUGUCAUUCGGGAACAAUAGCGGGGGGGUGAAUAAUCUCACCGUGUGAUGGUACCGGAAGAGGAAGCCACGGCUAACUCUGUGCCAGCAGCCGCGGUAAUACAGAGGUGGCGAGCGUUGUUCGGAUUUACUGGGCGUAAAGGGUGCGUAGGUGGUCUCGUGUGUCGGGUGUGAAAUCCCACUGCUCAACGGUGGAAUGGCGCUCGAAACUGCGAGGCUUGAGUGCAGGAUGGGAGAGCGGAAUUCUUGGUGUAGCGGUGAAAUGCGUUGAUAUCAGGAGGAACACCGGUGGUGUAAACGGCUUUCUGGACCGUAACUGACGCUGAGACACGAAAGCGUGGGUAGCAAACAGGAUUAGAUACCCUGGUAGUCCACGCCCUAAACGAUGCAUAUUUGGUGUGGGUCAUUCAGUUGAUCCGUGCCGGAGCUAACGCGUUAAAUAUGCCGCCUGGGGAGUACAGUCGCAAGGCUGAAACUCAAAGGAAUUGACGGGGGCCCGCACAAGCGGUGGAGCAUGUGGUUCAAUUCGACGCAACGCGAAGAACCUUACCUGGGCUCGAACGGCUGGUUAACGGCUUUGGAAACAGAGCUACUCCGCAAGGAGGUCCAGUCGAGGUGCUGCAUGGCUGUCGUCAGCUCGUGUCGUGAGAUGUUGGGUUAAGUCCCGCAACGAGCGCAACCCUCGUCCUGUGUUGCCAUGGGGUAAAACCCGGAACUCGCAGGAGACCGCCAGCGAUAAGUUGGAGGAAGGUGGGGAUGACGUCAAGUCCUCAUGGCCUUUAUGUCCAGGGCUACACACGUGCUACAAUGGCCGGUACAAUCCGUCGCUAACCUGCGAAGGGGAGCCAAUCGGAAAAAACCGGUCUCAGUUCGGAUUGCAGGCUGCAACUCGCCUGCAUGAAGCUGGAAUCGCUAGUAAUGGCAGAUCAGCACGCUGCCGUGAAUACGUUCCCGGGCC
rnacentral:rRNA from 1 species